AUUGCGUGCGGUCUAUGCCGCAUGAGGAAAGUCCAUGCUCACACAAACUGCGAUGUUUGUAGUGUUCGUGCCAGGUGAAAAAAUAAGCCUGGGUAGCCAGCAAUGGUUAACGGCCAACGAAACCGCCUAAGGGAAACUAUGGCUGAUUAGUUGUUAAGGUGCCACAGUGACGAGCUUUCAAAGAAAUGCGAAAGGUGGAACGCGGUAAACCCCACGAGUGGGCAACCCAAACGAUGGUAGGGGCGCUUGACCUAGCAAAUUGAAGUGAUGGUCGGGGGAGCAGCAAUGCUCGAGA
rnacentral:RNase_P_RNA from 1 species